UGUGCAGCCAGAUUAGUUCCGAUUGCAAUUUAGUUGUAAACAAGUCACCUUUUAGCGAAUUUUGAACGCUACUGCCCGACAAAGUUCAACGUUUGAGAGGUGUUAAUCAAUUUGCGAAUUUAGUGGUAAUUAAUAGUGUAAACAUACUUACAAAGAUAUUUUUGCAACAAAAAUAUGGGGAUUAACACUGGAAAGAACCUUUUAAUUUUUGGCAUCCUGUUGCUUAUUGGUCAAUAUAAAAGCGUUAGAGGUUAUCCUCAAGCUGCCAAGGCUACAGCGCUAGCUAGCGCCGAUGCGCAAUCCAUUGGCAAUAACGCCGGUGCAGUUGCUGUUGCGUCCGCUGAUGCCGAUGCUGAUUUGAAGGGCUCGGAAACCUUUGGUUUCGGUUACUAUCCAGGUGUGAUUGGUGGUGGCGGUCUGUACGGACAAGGUUUAGGUUAUGGCGGCUAUGGUUACGGCGGACGUUGGGGUUAUGGCGGCUAUCAUGGCUAUGGUGGUUAUGGCGGAUAUGGCGGUUACGGUGGUGGUUACUAUCGUCGUCCCAUCUUUCCAGUGUGGGGUUGAUACUAUGUUUGGCUAAAUAACUGCAGACUCAACAGUAUUAAAAGGCAUCGUUUAAUGGUUAUUAUACUUAUAUAUAUUACAAAUAUAUUUUCACUAUACUUAAAACUUGAAAUAAUAAAAAAAAAAAAGUUUAAAUUGAAAGUAAUUAAGUGAAGUUCUAGCAAAUAGUACCAAUUUGAUCAAAUUUUACCGAAAAAUAUAGUUAUACUAAGGAUAUCAUUGUCAUAUAACUGUAUUGAGUUAUCUCCCGGACAAACCGAUCUAUAUGCUCUCAAUAAAGUUAUCUAGAAGUUAUCAUAUUAUAUUUAAAGAGUCAGGGAAUACCAAUUUCAUCCAUUUUUGAUCCAACCAUCAAUUCACAUUGUAUUGAAAGAAACAAAUCCUAUAAAUAAUAUCUGGGGAUAUUCAAGUCAGCCAAAAAGGAUGGAUCAUCUUAGAUAUGGCUGAAAAGUAUGUUCUUAAUCUAAUUCGGAAAAGGAUUUACAGCCUGACAUCCAGAAAUCAACUCAUCUCGACAUUCUGAUAAUUUUUAUAGGGAGCAUAAAAAAAAUACAGAAGGCCAAGGUUUUCGGAGCUCUUAGGAAGGACUUAGAGAUUUUAACGGAACGUAACGCAGACUUCCGCUUAAAGUCUAUAAUGUGGAUAAAUACUUAUUUAUACGUUGGGUCUCUCCUCUGCUAAAGUUUUUUAUACGCAUGAGAUUGCUUUACUUAAAAUAAUGAUACAAGGAAGUUUCUCUUCAAAGCGACUCUCCGAUUGUUUUCUAUACUCGUAAGCAAAAACUCAUAUUAACUCCGGUUUUCUUUAUUAUUGGUAUCAUUAAACAUUUUGGGUUAACGCUUUUUAAUAAUAUUGUUGCUAUAAGAAAUUGGUUUUGAUUGGUGCUAGGCUAGGUUUGUGUUUUUUCCUUCUUUUGUUUUUGUAGAAACAAUAAAAUUUAUUAUUGUUUGCUAAUAUUAUACCCUAAACACAGACAUAUUUAUUAAUAUUAAGUUUUUUUUAAGGGGUUUACAAGUCGAAGGUCAAACCUACACCAAAAUAAUAUACUUAAUCAUUAUCAUUGACGGACAUUUACGCUUCAUUUUCGGCAACAAAAUCAUCACAAACAACAAUUACAGCAAACACAGUGUAGCGUUAUCACUAUAAACAAAAUAUAAUUUUUUUCUAUUUAUUUUGCUUUUUUUUCAAAAAACAACGUGUUUAAUAUUAUUAUUUUUGUUUUUGUAAUAUGCAGAUAAUAUAAUUGAAUCUAAUAGACCCAAAUAUUAUUAUUUUUUACCAAAUAGUUAAUUUUGCAUUACGGUUUAAUGACUUUGUUCAAUUGGUGGCUGCAUAUUUUUUUAUAACGGUAUAAUUAUCUUAAGAACAUUAUGAAAUCUGCUAGUUGGUAUUUUAGGGGAACGAAAAGGUCUGGCAGAAAUUCGACCAAUAUACAUAAAGUCGACUAUAAGUGGAGAAGAAAUGUUUUUAUAUUUUUCCAUUUCUAUCAUUGAUAUUUUUUGUCCAAUAUUAUCAGGUUUGCGGGUCUCAAAACACCUUAUUUAUUUUUGGAUUAGCGCACAGAUUUUCAACAAUUGUUUAAAUUAUUUAUGUAAAUACGUGCAUUGGGUAUAAAAAGUACAAACAAUUAUUUUUCCUCAAAAAACCAAAAAAAAAAAAAUAAUAAUAAUAAACAAAGCACUAGAAUAAAAAUAAAAUAAAUAAAAGCAACAAAUUUAAAUGUGAAAUUUCGUCAUUUGUUAUGUUUUUAUUUCACAUUUCGCUGAUAACCCACCAAACUUGUUUCCUAUCAGUUAGCUCAUCAUCGCACCGGUUCAUCAUACACACGAGUAUAAAAGCAUCAAGAGUUCUUGAAAUUUAUUUAGUUUCAUUCAAAGAUUUAACAAUUAAAGAAGUGCUAAUAAUUGCCGAUUUAAGAAUGGCAAAAAUAAUGAUAAUCCUCGCUGUUUGUGUCGCCUUGACAAUGGCGCAUCCAAAUGGUUAUGGCGGCGGUUAUGGUGGUGGUGGUCAUGAUGGCGGUCAUGGUAGUGGUGGUCAUGGUGGUUUCGGUGGCGUAGGAGGCGGUCACAGUGGUGG